rnacentral:rRNA from 1 species
CCUACGGGAGGCAGCAGUGGGGAAUUUUGGACAAUGGGCGCAAGCCUGAUCCAGCAAUGCCGCGUGCAGGAUGAAGGCCUUCGGGUUGUAAACUGCUUUUGUACGGAACGAAACGGUGAGCUCUAAUACAGUUUGCUAAUGACGGUACCGUAAGAAUAGGCACCGGCUAACUACGUGCCAGCAGCCGCGGUAAUACGUAGGGUGCGAGCGUUAAUCGGAAUUACUGGGCGUAAAGCGUGCGCAGGCGGUGAUGUAAGACAGAUGUGAAAUCCCCGGGCUCAACCUGGGACCUGCAUUUGUGACUGCAUCGCUAGAGUACGGUAGAGGGGGAUGGAAUUCCGCGUGUAGCAGUGAAAUGCGUAGAUAUGCGGAGGAACACCGAUGGCGAAGGCAAUCCCCUGGACCUGUACUGACGCUCAUGCACGAAAGCGUGGGGAGCAAACAGGAUUAGAUACCCUGGUAGUCCACGCCCUAAACGAUGUCGACUGGUUGUUGGGUCUUCACUGACUCAGUAACGAAGCUAACGCGUGAAGUUGACCGCCUGGGGAGUACGGCCGCAAGGUUGAAACUUAAAGGAAUUGACGG